rnacentral:rRNA from 1 species
GCGACCCCAGGUCAGGCGGGGCUACCCGCUGAG